UACGUAGGGUCCGAGCGUUGUCCGGAAUUACUGGGCGUAAAGAGCUCGUAGGCGGUGUGUCACGUCGGCCGUGAAAACCUGCAGCUUAACUGUGGGCGUGCGGUCGAUACGGGCAUCACUGGAGUUCGGCAGGGGAGACUGGAAUUCCUGGUGUAGCGGUGAAAUGCGCAGAUAUCAGGAGGAACACCGGUGGCGAAGGCGGGUCUCUGGGCCGAUACUGACGCUGAGGAGCGAAAGCGUGGGGAGCAAACAGG
rnacentral:rRNA from 1 species